rnacentral:lncRNA from 1 species
CCUCAACCAGUCCAUAUAGUUCAGAUUGGCCGUACCAGGUCGAACCGUCCGGUACGGGGCGUAUCGAGCCGGACCGAUGCUCAAACGGUUCGAUUCGGAUUUUUUUUCGAGAAAUACUCUGAACUGGUAUCGAACCCAGUGGUUCGAUCUGGUUCGCUUUCAUACCAUCUAAAAUCGGACGGCAUGGUCCAGUUCGGUCCGAUUCGACGUGAACCGAACCGUACCAACACCCCAUGUGCCAAAAGUGACGAGAGGGGAGGGGGGUCGG